AGGAAUACUGGUCAAUGGACGCAAGUCUGAACCAGCCAUGCCGCGUGAAGGAUGAAGGUCCUCUGGAUUGUAAACUUCUUUUAUCUGGGACGAAAACGGGAUUUUUAUCUCAAUUGACGGUACCAGAGGAAUAAGCACCGGCUAACUCCGUGCCAGCAGCCGCGGUAAUACGGAGGGUGCGAGCGUUAUCCGGAUUUACUGGGUUUAAAGGGUGCGUAGGUGGGCUUAUAAGUCAGUGGUGAAACCUCCGAGCUUAACUUGGAAACUGCCGUUGAUACUAUAGGUCUUGAAUUAUCUGGAGGUAAGCGGAAUAUGUCAUGUAGCGGUGAAAUGCUUAGAUAUGACAUAGAACACCAAUUGCGAAGGCAGCUUACUACAUAUAAAUUGACGCUGAGGCACGAAAGCGUGGGGAUCAAACA
rnacentral:rRNA from 1 species